rnacentral:hammerhead_ribozyme from 1 species
AUGACGAGUCCCAAACAGAAUGAAACGCGUGUCCCGAAU